rnacentral:rRNA from 1 species
AGAGUUCGAUUAUGGCUCAGGAUAAACGCUGGCGGCGUGCUUAACACAUGCAAGUCGAACGAAGUUUUUCUUUCGGGAGGAACUUAGUGGCGGACGGGUGAGUAACGCGUGGGUAACCUGCCCUGUACAGGGGGACAACAGCUGGAAACGGCUGCUAAUACCGCAUAAGCCCUUAGCACUGCAUGGCGCAUAGGGAAAAGGAGUAAUCCGGUACAGGAUGGACCCGCGUCUGAUUAGCCAGUUGGCAGGGUAACGGCCUACCAAAGCGACGAUCAGUAGCCGAUCUGAGAGGAUGUACGGCCACAUUGGGACUGAGACACGGCCCAG